rnacentral:rRNA from 1 species
UGCGGAGCUUACCAUGCAGUCGAGCGGAACGAUGGUAGCUUGCUACCAGGCGUCGAGCGGCGGACGGGUGAGUAAUACUUAGGAAUCUACCUAGUAGUGGGGGAUAGCUCGGGGAAACUCGAAUUAAUACCGCAUACGACCUACGGGAGAAAGGGGGCAGUUUACUGCUCUCGCUAUUAGAUGAGCCUAAGUCGGAUUAGCUAGAUGGUGGGGUAAAGGCCUACCAUGGCGACGAUCUGUAGCUGGUCUGAGAGGAUGAUCAGCCACACCGGGACUGAGACACGGCCCGGACUCCUACGGGAGGCAGCAGUGGGGAAUAUUGGACAAUGGGGGAAACCCUGAUCCAGCCAUGCCGCGUGUGUGAAGAAGGCCUUUUGGUUGUAAAGCACUUUAAGCAGUGAAGAAGACUCUUCGGUUAAUACCCGGAGACGAUGACAUUAGCUGCAGAAUAAGCACCGGCUAACUCUGUGCCAGCAGCCGCGGUAA